GAUGAACGCUGGCGGCGUGCCUAACACAUGCAAGUCGAACGAGAAGCUAACCUUUGAUUCCUUCGGGAUGAUCAGGUUGGCAGAAAGUGGCGAACGGGUGAGUAACGCGUGGGUAAUCUACCCUAAAGUGGGGGAUAACCCUCCGAAAGGAGGGCUAAUACCGCAUAAUAUCUUCUCCUCUAAAGAGGUAAAGAUUAAAGGUGGCCUCUAUUUAUAAGCUAUCACUUUAGGAUGAGCCCGCGUCCUAUUAGUUAGUUGGUGGGGUAAUGGCCUACCAAGACCACAAUGGGUAGCCGGUCUGAGAGGAUGUACGGCCACACUGGGACUGAGAUACGGCCCAGACUCCUACGGGAGGCAGCAGUGGGGAAUAUUGCGCAAUGGGGGAAACCCUGACGCAGCGACGCCGCGUGGACGAUGAAGGCCUUCGGGUUGUAAAGUCCUGUUCUGGGGGAAGAAACCUUAAGGGUCCAAUAAACCCUUAAGCUGACGGUACCCCA
rnacentral:rRNA from 1 species